CCAUCUCAGUCAUUUGUCUAGAUAGACUCUCUAGACUAUAUUCUUCAUUUAUUUGAGAGGAGCCAGCAACAUUGGUGGGGUCAGGCAUGGGGUUAUCUGCAUCUUCGUCUUCUUCAUCUUCUUGAACGCCAGCAACAUCAUCAGGAUGAGCAAAGGAGUUCCCUUGCUUAAGGAAUCCCAUUUGUCUUAGGGAAUUUUCCCCAAUCCUGUGGGUC
rnacentral:lncRNA from 1 species